rnacentral:misc_RNA from 1 species
GUACCUUCAUGACACGGCACCUUUUGCACCGACGCACUGCCACCACAAGAAGGAGUUCCCGCGCUAGAAAGGCCUGAGAGACUUCCCCUGAAGGCACUCACACACCGCAUAAUAUUCCGUGACAACGCCCUCUCUUUUUGCAUAGCUCUUGUGCACAAACGUCCACCCCUCCUCCUCAACACGUCAACACCGACUCUCCAAACCUCAAUACCAACACCCACGACCACGCCAGCACCACCAACGCAGAGGCAAAGAAGGGGGAAAACAAAACGUAAGCUUAGCGUGCUAUCCGCAAGCAACAGCACCACAGGCAAACAGGGAGAACGACGGAGAGCCUGAUUGAGGGCAAAGAAUAGUACGUUUUCCCCUCACACUCUCACGCAACCAUACACCACCACUCCUUGAGGCCACAGACAUUCUCUGUCCCUUCGUCCGUAGGAAAGAGGGAGAGGCGCCAAAGCAAACGAAAAUGCGAUGCGUAAUGCGUUUACGCUGCGUGCGGAGUGCGGUGGUCUUGUCGUCCUUGCUAUGGGGACAGCGCUGGAGCUCCACAUGGAAUUCUACUCCGGAGAAGUACGGAGAGUCGGCAGCAGCGUCUGGUGCGACGGUGUUGCCCGGUGUCGAUCUUGCCCGUCGCGCCGUCAGCCCAAACCAGGAGUUCCCGGCCACGUGGAGCGAGGACGAACCGCUCUCCCCCUCCAACCCGCGUGUGUGCUGGCGAGAGCACUACUCACUAGACGCUCAGAAGCCCUACUACCAAAACAUCAAAACAAUGGAGGUGACAUGGGACAUACCAGAGGGCUUUGUGACGCGCUUUCCUCGCCUCUACGCAUCUAACGGCUACCACGUGGAUGCAACUGGCGCGGUUUUCCGGUCGUCCACGGCUUCCGAACCCCCCGCGAACGGAACCGUUGGCACUACAGUUGCAAAGGAGGCAGGUGUGAAGGCGGUGUCACUUAAGCAGCGACUGGCAGCCUACGGUGCAGGCGGGCUCUUGUGGUACCUCAUCGUGCACAACAUAUCCCUGGCGUGCGUCUUCACCUGCCUCUACGUCUUUCGCAUUGAUCUGAUCCGCCUUGCACGUUCCUAUGGCUUCGAUGUGAAGCGCUCAGACGAGGUCGCGGUGAGCGAGAGCAAGCGGCCGCCGUUCUGGAAGACGUUUGUUCUCUCCAUUGUCCUUAACAAGAUAUUAGUGCCGCUGCACCUCCUCCUCACAGUCACCUCGGCCCCCCUUCUAGUUCACCGUCUCGAGCCCAUCGCGACAUCAUUAUUUCCCAAAAUAAAGGCCUUUGCCAGGAGCUUAGUCGGCAGAGGUGCCGCAGCAGGGACGACCGCCAAGGUUUAGCCGACGAGGUAGCUGUCUUGCGUAGCUGUGUUGCGUCUCUACUUCACACACCGCGGCAUCAUCGUGUGUACCAGUAUGUGCACUGCUUCUUUUUCCUUUGUCAACUAUUGUUGUACUGGUUGCACGCUGCAGUGUGGACCGUGUACGAGGCAAGCACACGUGGCGGUAUCUUAAUUUGUGGCUGUACUCUUUUUCUCAGUAGGGUUGCGGGGCGCGUUCUAUGGCGAGUCUUGGGUGCGGUGCGUGUGCUGCGUGGGCGCAGGCGGUGUCUGUACAGCGGAGAUCAAAAAGAUGCAGACGAGGGGGGCGAGGGAGAGCACCGUUUGGCGCGAGAAGCUGUCUUUCAGUGGUUCGCUUCACUCACUGAUCUGAAUUCCAGAGGACGCGCAGGACCCUCUCCCCUCUUUGUCGACACAGAUGCACACACGUUACCCUCUCUUGCCGCGUGACAGUACCGAGUGCUCUUUUCCAAUGAUCACGUCACAGGCGAGGAGAGCAGGCGUAGCCAACUGGCGAAAAAAACAAUAACAAACACACAAGUCAGCGGAACGUGGCGCAACACUCGAGAGAGUGAGGCCGUCCAGGACGGCUUUGCAGAUAUCUCCUCGGCCCCUCGUAUUCCGAGCACUUCCUGUCGCAUUCAAGUGAGGGAGUAGCCAUCUUUCUUAUCUUGCGAUCUCUUGCACGCCCCGAUGACGAGGGGAGAUCUCGAUGCGUGGUAUCACAGAUUCCAGUGCUCCACUCUCUCUGGUGAAGCCAGGCAGCCCCCCUCCCUCCCCCCUUGUCCGCUGCCAGCGCACCACUACCUCUGGUGGUGGCAGGGUCAAGCACCUACGACAUGGGGAGGGCGCCAGUGCGAUUAAUCGCUGCUGAUGUCGGCGGCCGGGCCCUGGAUGGCGUUGCUUUAGGGUGACCGGUGACACCGAGCAUAUCUGCGCCAUCCAUAUAAUGCGCAAAGUGUCAGCGUGGCUGGAACGCACCUCACGCGCACCUGGCUGCCUGCUGGUGGGGUGGGGGCUCGGGCCACCCCACGGCGGGAUGCACCAGGUGGCCACCAGCAUGAUUGGAGUGGCUGUGAGGCGACCUUCGGAGCGGUGGAUGGGUGGAGCUCGAGGCAGAAUGCGUGCUGUGAUGGCUGAGUCGGCGCAUUGCCGUAACGCGUGUCUACUGCGUCGUGCCACGCGAUGGGCCUGUGACAGGCCGGGUGGAGUGGCGUUGAGCUCAUGCCCGAUGACAGAAUGAUCACCGGAAAUCG